CAGUGGUGCAAUCUCAGCUAAAUACAACCUCCACCUCCUAGAUUCAAGCAAUUCUCCUGCCUCAGCCUCCCAAGUAGCUGGGAACACAGCAUAACCCAGCUCAUCCUGACUGAUGCCACCAUUUCCAGAUAAGAGAAAUGCGACUGAGAAAGAUUAAGAUAUUUUCUUAAGAUUGGACAUUAUGUUCCUACCCACUGUGCUUGCCUUAUAGUUGAAAGAGAGUUUAUUUAAGCACAGAGAUCAAGCAAGAGUGGAGCACAGGACACACUUUCAGGUUGCCUUGGGGACUGCUCUGUAGAACAAAAAAUCAAACUCAAGAUUUUAAGGAAAACAAGUACAAGUGAAGAGAAGGCAUGAUUACCAAAGUUGUUGAUCUAAUUCUCAUUGAUUUACAGAAAUAACAGUGGCUAACGAUCAGCUAUACAUUGUUGAAUUAUAGGAUGUAUGGCAUUUAAAAAUGUAUUUAUUUAAAACUAAUUUUUUUUAGAUUUUUGAUGGAUUUAGGGGUACAGGUGCAGUUGUGUUACAUGGAUAUAUUUUGUAGAGAUGAAAUCUGGGCUUUUAUGUACAACUACCCAAAUAAGAUACAUUGUACCCAAUAGGCAGCAUUUCACUUUCACCCUCAUUCUAUCCUCCCACUGUUUGGAGCCUCCAAUGUCUAUCAUUCCACUCAGUAAGUCCAUGUCCAUGGUUUAGCACCCAUGUAUAAGUGGGAACAUGCAGUUCUUGAUUUUCUGUUUCUGAGUCAUUUCACUAAGGGUAAUGGCCUCCAGUUCCAUACACAUUGCUGCAAAAGUCAUAAUUUCAUUCACUUUUAUGGCUGAAUAGUAUUCCAUGGUGUAUAUCUACCAGAUUGUUUUAUUCAAUGAAGUGUUGAUGGACACUUAGGUUGAUUUCACAACUUUGCUAUUCUGAACUGUGCUACAAUAAACAUACAAAUGCAGAAGGCUUUUUUAUAUAAUGAUUUGUUUCCUUUUGGGGGGUACAUGUGCGGUAGUGGAAUUGCUGGAUUGAAGGGUGGUUCUAUUUUUAGUUUUCUAGAAAUUAUCAUACUGUUUUCCAUAGAGGUCAUAUGAGUUACACAUCAACCGAUACAUAUUUUCCAACAUCUUGUUUUUUGACCAUUUUUGAGACAGGGUCUCCCUCUGUUGCCCAGGCUGAAGUGCAGUGGCAUGAUCAUAGGUCAGUGCAGUCCCAACCUCUUGGGCUCAAGGCGUCCUCCUGGCUCUGCCUCCUAAGUAGCAAGGACUACAGGCCCACACCACCACACGUGGAAUUUUUUUUUUUUUUUUUUUUUUUUGCUUGUUGAGACAAGGUCUCACUAUGUUGCCCAGGCUUAUCUUGAAUGCCUGGACUCAAGUGAUCCACCCACCUCAGCCUCUCAAAAUACUGUGAUUACAAGCAUGAGCCACUGCACUUGUCCGUUUUUUGACUGUUUAAUAACAGCCAUUGUGACUAGUAUAAGAUGGCAUGGCAUUGUGGCUUUAAUUUUCAUUUCUCUGAUACUUAAUUAUGUUAAGUAUUUUCAUAUGUUUGCCGUUUGUAUGUCUUUUAUUUAAAAAUGUCUGUUCAUACCCUGUGGCCACUUUUUAAUGGGGUUAUUCUUGUUUUUCUUGUUGAGUUGUUUAAGUUCCUUGUAGAGUCUGAAUAUUAGCUCUUUGUCAGAUACACUGCUGGCAAAUCUUUUCGCCCAUUCUACAGUUUGUUUGUUUACUGAGAAUUAUUUCUUUUGCUGUGCAGAAGCUUUUUACUUUUAUUAAGUCCCAUUUCUCUGUUUUGGUUUUUGUUGUAUUUUAUUUUGAGGACUUCAUCAUAAAUUCUUUGUCUAGACCAAUAUUUAGAAGAGUUUUUCCUAGGUUGUCUUCUAAGAUUUUUAUAGUUUCAGUUCUUACAUUUAAGUCUUUAAUCCACCUUGAGUUAAUUUUUGUACAUGAUGGAAGGUAAGAGGCCAGUUUCAUGAAUCGACAUAUGGCACACCAAUUAUCCCAGCACCAUUUAUUGAAUAGAAUGUGAUUUCCCUUUAUAUAAUUUUGUCAACUUUGUCAGAGAUCAGUUGGUUGUAGCUAUGUGGCUAUAUUUUUCCGUAUGUGUCUCUUUCUAUAACAUGACCAUGCUGUUUUGGUUACUACAGCCAUACAAUAUAAUGUGAUCUGUCCAAUUUUAUUCUCUUUGCUUAGCAUUACUUUG
rnacentral:lncRNA from 1 species